GUGCUUGCCUCGGCAGCAAAUAUACCAACACUGGAAUGAUACAGAGAUUAGCAUGGCUCCUGGGCAAGGAUGACAGGCAAAUUCAUGAAAUGUUCCAUGUUUAA
ensembl:snRNA U6 U6 spliceosomal RNA